UACGUAGGGGGCAAGCGUUGUCCGGAUUUAUUGGGCGUAAAGAGCGUGUAGGCGGCCAGACAAGUCUGCUGUGAAAACUCGAGGCUCAACCUCGAGCUGUCGGUGGAAACUGUUUGGCUAGAGUCCGGAAGAGGAGAGUGGAAUUCCUGGUGUAGCGGUGAAAUGCGCAGAUAUCAGGAAGAACACCUAUGGCGAAGGCAGCUCUCUGGGACGGUACUGACGCUGAGACGCGAAAGCGUGGGGAGCGAACAGG
rnacentral:rRNA from 2 species